rnacentral:rRNA from 1 species
UUGCUGCUUCGCUGACGAGUGGCGGACGGGUGAGUAAUGUCUGGGAAACUGCCUGAUGGAGGGGGAUAACUACUGGAAACGGUGGCUAAUACCGCAUAACGUCGCAAGACCAAAGAGGGGGACCUUCGGGCCUCUUGCCAUCAGAUGUGCCCAGAUGGGAUUAGCUUGUUGGUGAGGUAACGGCUCACCAAGGCGACGAUCCCUAGCUGGUCUGAGAGGAUGACCAGCCACACUGGAACUGAGACACGGUCCAGACUCCUACGGGAGGCAGCAGUGGGGAAUAUUGCACAAUGGGCGCAAGCCUGAUGCAGCCAUGCCGCGUGUAUGAAGAAGGCCUUCGGGUUGUAAAGUACUUUCAGCGGGGAGGAAGGUGUUGUGGUUAAUAACCGCAGCAAUUGACGUUACCCGCAGAAGAAGCACCGGCUAACUCCGUGCCAGCAGCCGCGGUAAUAC